AUUGAACGCUGGCGGCAGGCCUAACACAUGCAAGUCGAACGGUAACAGGAAACAGCUUGCUGUUUCGCCGACGAGUGGCGGACGGGUGAGUAAUGUCUGGGAAACUGCCUGAUGGAGGGGGAUAACUACUGGAAACGGUAGCUAAUACCGCAUAACGUCGCAAGACCAAAGAGGGGGACCUUCGGGCCGCUUGCACUCGGAUGUGCCCAGAUGGGAUUAGCUUGUUGGUGGGGUAACGGCGCACCAAGGCGACGAUCCGUAGCUGGUCUGAGAGGAUGACCAGCCACACUGGAACUGAGACACGGUCCAGACUCCUACGGGAGGCAGCAGUGGGGAAUAUUGCACAAUGGGCGCAAGCCUGAUGCAGCCAUGCCGCGUGUAUGAAGAAGGCCUUCGGGUUGUAAAGUACUUUCAGCGGGGAGGAAGGGAGUAAAGUUAAUACCUUUACUCAUUGACGUUACCCGCAGAAGAAGCACCGGCUAACUCCGUGCCAGCCGCCGCGGUAA
rnacentral:rRNA from 1 species